ACCCAGAAAUCUAACUGGAUGGAUAGC
rnacentral:piRNA from 1 species